GACGAACGCUGGCGGCGUGCUUAACACAUGCAAGUCGAACGGUGAAGUAGAGCUUGCUCUAUGGAUCAGUGGCGAACGGGUGAGUAACACGUGGGCAACCUGCCCCAGACUCUGGGAUAACUCCUCGAAAGAGGGGCUAAUACCGGAUAUUUGCAUUGCAAGACAUCUUGUGAUGCCGAAAGAAUUUCGGUCUGGGAUGGGCCCGCGGCCUAUCAGCUUGUUGGUGAGGUAACGGCUCACCAAGGCGACGACGGGUAGCCGGCCUGAGAGGGCGACCGGCCACACUGGGACUGAGACACGGCCCAGACUCCUACGGGAGGCAACAGUGGGGAAUAUUGGGCAAUGGGCGCAAGCCUGACCCAGCAACGCCGCGUGAGGGAUGAAGGUCCUCGGAUUGUAAACCUCUUUCAGCAGCGACGAAGCGAAAGUGACGGUACCUGCAGAAGAAGCACCGGCUAACUACGUGCCAGCAGCCGCCGUAA
rnacentral:rRNA from 1 species